UAUUGAUCUUCCUUCUUCCCACCCAUUUCGGAUCUGUCUUUCCCCAAUCGAAACGCACGCUGAUGAAUUUCCCGAGCUCUCACUCGCUUUCCUGGCCCUGCAUCAUGUUGUGGAUGCAGGAUUUGUUUGGUAGAUGGUUUGGUCAGAAAUCGGUUGGGAUACAUGAGAAUGUUUGAAGAAUAGAGAAGGAAGAUGCGAUAGGAAGAGGCGUGAAAAAAUAGAGGAGUAGGUUAGGGAUGAGGUUGGUAGUGUAAUUCUGUAUAAUUGGGUCUAUGAUUGGUGAGGUGAUUUAGAUUGAAGAAAUUAUGUUUAACAAAAUAAUGAAGAGAGGGCAGAAAAAGCCCUCAAAAUCGGAAGCAGCUGAGCCUCCUGUGCCGACGGCGGCUGCAGCUCCCGAGGUUACUGUAAAUCAUGCAUCGCGUAUGCCGGCUAUCCCUGUGCCACAGCCGGCCCCUUGUUUGAGUGUGCCACAAAACCCUGGGGUGGUUGAAGUCUUACCGAUGGUGAAGGAUGUAGCUUUGCCUGAGAGACACAAUAUAUUUAUCCGGAAGGUUCAUGUUUGUUGUAUACAGUUCGAUUUCACGGAUAUGAUGAAGUCGGUCAGGGAGAAGGAGAUCAAAAGGCAAACCAUUGCGGAGCUUGUUGAUUUGGUGCAGUCUGGAUCGUUUAAAAUGAAUGAGAUAAUGCAGGAGGAGAUGGUGAAAAUGAUAGCUUUGAAUAUUUUCCGAUGCUUGCCUCCACCACCUCAUGAGAAUGCUUGCUCGGAGGGUAGAGAUCCUGAGGAGGAUGAAAUGUUUAUGGAUCCAAACUGGCCUCAUUUGCAACUUGUGUACGAUUUGCUUUUGAGAUAUGUAGUGUCCUCUGAAACAGAUACUAAGAUCGCCAAGAGGUAUAUUGAUCACUCAUUUGUGAUGAAGUUGCUUAAUUUAUUUGAGUCUGAGGACCCAAGAGAAAGGGAGUAUUUGAAAACUGCUCUUCACCGGAUAUACGGCAGGUUCAUGAUUCAUAGACCCUUUAUACGGAAUGCUAUCAACAAUAUCCUCUAUCGAUUCAUAUUUGAGAUGGCGCGAUACAAUGGUAUCAUUGAGUUAUUGGAGAUUCUAGGAAGUAUUAUAACUGGGUAUGUGUUGCCCAUGAAAGAGGAGCACAAAUUGUUUCUUGUACGCAUUCUUAUUCCAUUACACAAAUCUAAAUGCGUCGCCACAUACCAUCUGCAACUGUCACAUUGUAUUACACAAUUCGUGGAGAAAGAUUACAGGCUGGCUGAUAUUGUUAUAAAAGGGGUUCUGAAGUAUUGGCCUAUCUCAAACUGUGGGAAGGAGGUUCUCUUCCUUGGAGAACUAGAAGAAGUUUUGGAGUUAACGCAGUCGGCAGAGUUUCAGCGCUGUAUGGUUCCGCUGUUUAAACAGAUUGGAAGAAGCAUCAACAGUCCAAAUUUCCAGGUAGCAGAACGUGCUCUCUUCUUGUGGAACAAUGAGCAUAUAAUAGGCCUGAUUACAGAAAAUCGAUAUGUUAUUUUACCAAUCAUAUUUGAUGCAUUGGAGAAGAAUGUGCAAAGUCAUUGGAACCAGGCAAUCAGUGGUUUGACUUCCAAUGUCCGAAAAGUGUUCCUAGAGAUGGACACGGAACUAUUUGAAGAAUGUCAGAGGCAGUAUGAUGAAAAGGAGGCUAGAGCAGGAGAACUGGAAGAGCGACGACUCUUGACCUGGAGAAGAUUGGAAGCUGCUGCUAAUACUUCUUAAAGAUGCUGCUUUACUUCUCAGUUACAGACCUUAACAUGGGAUUCGUUUGAAAAAUUUUCAGUAACAGUGGCUAACUUUUGGAACUGGCAAACAUAUGUCAAUCAAGGAAUGGAGAGUGAUGUACAAGUGAAAGCAGAAUGAAAUGUUGAAUGCCCGAAGAAAACGACUUGUAGUUGAUCAAGGGACAUGAAAAUUAGAAUAAUAAGGCAGUAAGAGCUGAAUCGACUGUACUAUUUUGUGUCAAGCCGAAGAAAAGUUGUAUGGCUUUGCACAGAGGAUCGAUUUGAAUGUACUGCAAUCUUGGGGCCUUUUGAUCUAGGUAAAUCAAUCUAUAAUCACUCGUAGAAAUUGUUGCAGUUUUCGAUUUCUAACCAUUCUUCCAUCAGGAUUAACCAUUUUUCGAGUAGUAAAUUGAGCUGCACACAUAUAUGUUUAUUCAAAUCCCGUGUUAUCUUCAAGCUCCAUGAAGAUAGGAUUUGUUUCAAUCUUGAAAGUAUAGCUGUUUGUUGCCAUAGUUUGGUGUUUUGUGGCUCCAUUGAUGAUAAAUUAAUGAAAUAAGACAAGAGUUUAUCUCUUUCUUACAAAUCUUGAUUUGGUAAAGAUAAACAUUAAAACG